GAUGAACGCUGGCGGCGUGCCUAACACAUGCAAGUCGAGCGGCAGCGAGUUUUACACUGAAUUCUGGAAGCUUCUAGUUGAGAGAGAAGAUUUAUUCAAGAAUUUUGUGUAAAAUGUCGGCGAGCGGCGGACGGCUGAGUAACGCGUGGGAACGUAUCCCAAAGCGAGGGAUAACGCAGCGAAAGGCGGGCUAGUACCGCAUAUGGGCUUCGUAUUAAAGCCUUCGGGCGGUUUGGGAACGACCUGCGUAAGAUGAGAAAGUUGGUGGGGUAAUUGCCUACCAAGGCGACGUUCCUUAACUGGUAUGAGAGGAUGAUCCGUCAGACUUGAACUGAGACCCGGUCCCGACUCCUACGGGAGGCAGCAGUGAGGAAUCUUCCACAAUGGGCGAAAGCCUGAUGGAGCAACGCCGCGUACAGGAUGAAGGCCUUCGGGUUGUAAACUGCUUUUAUAAGUGAGGAUUAUGACAGUAACUUAUGAAUAAGGAUCGGCUAACUACGUG
rnacentral:rRNA from 1 species